rnacentral:misc_RNA from 1 species
GAUGAAGAACGUAGCGAAAUGCGAUAAGUAAUGUGAAUUGCAGAAUUCAGUGAAUCAUCGAAUCUUUGAACGCACAUUGCGCCCGCCCCCCCUCUGGCGGGCAUGCCUGUUCGAGCGUCAUUUUCACCAUCAAGCUCUGCUUGUGUUGGGGUCCUGCGGCUGCCCGCAGGCCCUGAAACCCAGUGGCGGGCUCGCUAGUCACACCGAGCGCAGUAGCACAUCUCGCUCAGGGCGUGCGGCGGGUUCUUGCCGUAAAACAACCCCCCCUUUUCACCAAGGUUGACCUCGGAUCAGGUAGGAAUACCCGCUGAACUUAAGCAUAUCAAUAAGCGGAGGA